AUGAAGUUAUUUUUUUGGUAAGUUGGUCAAUUGGCCAAUAAAAUACUGACACACAUACAACUUCGUCUGCGUGUGAGUAUUCUAUUGUCAAUUGACCAACUUAUCCAAAAAUAAACUUCAU
rnacentral:pre_miRNA from 1 species